rnacentral:tRNA from 2 species
UGGGGAAUGGUGAAGUGGUAUCACAACGGCUUUUGGGUCCGUUAUCUCUGGUUCGAAUCCAGGUUCCCCAACCA